rnacentral:rRNA from 1 species
GUCGAGGGAGAACCAUUCGAUCCGUAAGGACCGAAUGGGGAAACCGGCGAACGGGUGCGUAACACGUGAGGAACCUGCCCCGAAGACCGGGAUAGCCCGAGGAAACUCGGAUUAAUACCGGAUACCCUCUUUGGACCACAUGGUCCGCUGAGGAAACGGUCCGCCGCUUCGGGAUGGCCUCGCGGCCUAUCAGCUUGUUGGUGAGGUAACGGCUCACCAAGGCAAAGACGGGUAGCUGGUCUGAGAGGACGAUCAGCCACACUGGGACUGAGACACGGCCCAGACUCCUACGGGAGGCAGCAGCAGGGAAUAUUGCACAAUGGGCGAAAGCCUGAUGCAGCGACACCGCGUGCGGGAUGAAGGCCCUCGGGUUGUAAACCGCUUUCAGGAGGGACGAAAAUGACGGUACCUCCAGAAGAAGGCCCGGCCAACUACGUGCCAGCAGCCGCGGUAAUACGUAGGGGCCAAACGUUGUCCGGAUUUAUUGGGCGUAAAGGGCUCGUAGGCGGUUCAACAAGUCGAUCGUGAAAGCCCGGGGCUCAACCCCGGGACGCCGGUCGAAACUGUUGUGACUAGGGUCCGGUAGAGGUGAGUGGAAUUCUCGGUGUAGCGGUGG